GUGAAUCAUCGAAUCUUUGAACGCAAAUUGCGCCUUUUUCGGAUGGUAUGUCUGUGUGAGGGCACCAGUUAAUUAAUAAUGUGCAUUUCGUUUGCACACGGUGAUCAGUUUUCCCACUUUAUGUAUUAUUUUUGGUGGCGCAGAAUAAACAGCGCGAUGUUUUUUUUCAGUUCGAGUGUAGUAAAAUUUUUUCUUGCUUGGUUUGUGAAAAGCGUGAUCGCGCAAUGGGUGUGGCAAUUUUAGUUAAGCCUCCGCCAACGCCACUCUUUCU
rnacentral:misc_RNA from 1 species